GCUCCGGUAGUGUAGCUCGGUCAAUCAUGUGGGGCUCUCAAUCCCACGACACGGGUUCAAAUCCCGUCCGGAGCA
rnacentral:tRNA from 1 species